rnacentral:snRNA from 9 species
GUAUCUACCUGGCGUAGGGAUACCGUGAUCAUGCAGGCGGCUCCCCCAGGGUGAGGCUGCUCCAUUGCACUAAGGAGUACUUCACCCUUGCGAUUAUUUUAAUUUUUUUAUAAGUAUCACUUCUACCGUGUGUGACUUGCACACACACACACACACC